UUCCCAGAUAUUUGGAGAGAAAUCCCUCUCUCUCUCUCUCUCUCUCUCUCUCUCUCUUCUCUCUCUCUCUCUCUCUCUUUGUGAGUGUGUGUGUGUGUGUGAUGAACAUCCAUCACACUAUUUCUUCUUCUGCCCAUCACUCAAACACUUACAGCCCACUAAAACAACCAUGGCAAAGAUUUCAUCAGCACCACCAAAAUUGUCUGAAAUCCAGGAUGUGAGAUUUUAUUACCUAUUAAUUUAAUUUCUUGUUUUUCUAAGACUAUAAAAAUAUUGUAACUUCAAUAUCAUUUGUGUGUAUCUAAACUAAAUCAUUGUUUACAUCAACAGUGCUCAAUUUGGGUGUGGAUCAUUCAGCUUCCCUCAACAAAAAUCAAACAUUUGGAAAUUAUCAGAAACAAAGAAGAA
rnacentral:lncRNA from 1 species